UCGCGGUUUGCACCGGCAGUCUGAUUAGAGUCCCCAUCUUUACAUGCUGGUAACUAACCACAGGGGUUGCGCUCGUUAUAGGACUUAACCUGACACCUCACGGCACGAGCUGACGACAACCAUGCAGCACCUUGCACCCUGCCCGAGGGAGGGCUGGUUUCCCAGCCUGUCAGGGUGCAUUUAAGCCCAGGUAAGGUUCCUCGCGUAUCAUCGAAUUAAACCACAUGCUCCACCGCUUGUGCGGGCCCCGUCAAUUCCUUUGAGUUUCAACCUUGCGAUCGUACCCCCCAGGUGGAUUACUUAUCACUUUCGCUUAGGCACUGACCGUAUAUCGCCAGCACCGAGUAAUCAUAGUUUACGGCGUGGACUAC
rnacentral:misc_RNA from 1 species